AUUUGAUACAUUGGAAGAUAAUAAAGACUGCUAGCUAUUGGAAUGCUUGCUUGGAUGUGGCUAUCUUUAUUCGAUGCCUUGAUCUUCAUGAUGUCUGGAUAUUGCUCAUUUCUUAUUGAUUAUUUCUUGAUCAAAGUCCAAAGGAAAAAGGGUUUCUAUAUGACAUUCUGGUCUGUUGGAUUGAAUCUCAUUGGUCAGAUCUUUUCAACUCUUAACUUUUAAAUUUAUGCUUAGGGUAGUCUCUUCAUCUCCUCCCACUUCUUAAAC
rnacentral:lncRNA from 1 species